rnacentral:tmRNA from 1 species
UAAGGGAGCUUGUUCGCGAGCCGGGGGGUUGCGACCCGACGCGCGGAGACUGCAAACGCAACCUACGCACGUAGGCUUGGUUUUGGAUCGAGGCUCGGACCGGGGUUCGAUUCCCCGCGCCUCCAUCA